rnacentral:rRNA from 1 species
GAUGAACGCUGGCGGCGUGCCUAAUACAUGCAAGUCGAGCGAACAGACGAGGAGCUUGCUCCUCUGACGUUAGCGGCGGACGGGUGAGUAACACGUGGAUAACCUACCUAUAAGACUGGGAUAACUUCGGGAAACCGGAGCUAAUACCGGAUAAUAUAUUGAACCGCAUGGUUCAAUAGUGAAAGACGGUUUUGCUGUCACUUAUAGAUGGAUCCGCGCCGCAUUAGCUAGUUGGUAAGGUAACGGCUUACCAAGGCAACGAUGCGUAGCCGACCUGAGAGGGUUAUCGGCCAACCCGGGACGGAGACACGGUCCAGACUCCUACGGGAGGCAGCAGUAGGGAAUCUUCCGCAAUGGGCGAAAGCCUGACGGAGCAACGCCGCGUGAGUGAUGAAGGUCUUCGGAUCGUAAAACUCUGUUAUUAGGGAAGAACAAAUGUGUAAGUAACUAUGCACGUCUUGACGGUACCUAAUCAGAAAGCCACGGCUAACUACGUG